rnacentral:rRNA from 1 species
GACUACUUAAAAAAAUCCUUGUACGAUGCUGUCUCAUCUCAGAAGCUAAGCAGGGUAGGGCCUGGUUAGUACUUGGAUGGGAGACCACCUAGGAAUACCAGGGUCUGUAGGCA